GCAAUGUCACAGCAGUAUUUGACGUUUCUAUUUGACUCUCAGAUAUGAAGUGCACGCCCCAAAAUUACUUUUUAGCACCAAAAAAAUUUGAAUUUGUCAAACUGCAAUGUCACAGCAUUAUUUAAAUUGCCUAGAUGUUGCCCACUGAGCUACCAGAAUAGGAUUAAAGUAAUGUGCCUGGCACACAUGCAGUUGUAAAUGCACUGCAAUUGCAAAAAUGGCUGCCGGCGCCGACCUAACAAACAGACUGAUUGCUUAUUUCUCUGUGGCACUGGACUCAGGGCAGGGUACAAAAAUGUACUAUAGCACCUGUCAUGG